rnacentral:rRNA from 1 species
AGAGUUUGAUCCUGGCUCAGGACGAACGCUGGCGGCGUGCUUAACACAUGCAAGUCGAACGGAAAGGCCCUUCGGGGUACUCGAGUGGCGAACGGGUGAGUAACACGUGGGUGAUCUGCCCUGCACUUUGGGAUAAGCCUGGGAAACUGGGUCUAAUACCGAAUAUGACCAUGCACUUCCUGGUGUGUGGUGGAAAGCUUUUGCGGUGUGGGAUGGGCCCGCGGCCUAUCAGCUUGUUGGUGGGGUAAUGGCCUACCAAGGCGACGACGGGUAGCCGGCCUGAGAGGGUGUCCGGCCACACUGGGACUGAGAUACGGCCCAGACUCCUACGGGAGGCAGCAGUGGGGAAUAUUGCACAAUGGGCGCAAGCCUGAUGCAGCGACGCCGCGUGAGGGAUGACGGCCUUCGGGUUGUAAACCUCUUUCAGCACAGACGAAGCGCAAGUGACGGUAUGUGCAGAAGAAGGACCGGCCAACUACGUGCCAGCAGCCGCGGUAAUACGUAGGGUCCGAGCGUUGUCCGGAAUUACUGGGCGUAAAGGGCUCGUAGGUGGUUUGUCGCGUUGUUCGUGAAAACUCACAGCUUAACUGUGGGCGUGCGGGCGAUACGGGCAGACUUGAGUACUGCAGGGGAGACUGGAAUUCCUAGUGUAGCGGUGGAAUGCGCAGAUAUCAGGAGGAACACCGGUGGCGAAGGCGGGUCUCUGGGCAGUAACUGACGCUGAGGAGCGAAAGCGUGGGGAGCGAACAGGAUUAGAUACCCUGGUAGUCC